AACCUCCCAGGAUUGUGUCUGGAGAGUGGCUAAUAUUCUGCCAGCUUCGUAGACAGCAGGGAAAGCAAGCCUGGCAGAGGUCCCCAUUCCAUUCCCCACUUGCUCCGUAGCUGGUAAUUGGAAGACACUCUGCAACACUG
ensembl:snoRNA small nucleolar RNA SNORA7